rnacentral:ribozyme from 11 species
ACAAAAAUCCGAAUCGACAAAAACACGAAAAAACAAAAAACACGAAAUCAAAAGUAAUUAAUUUUUGUGGGACUUUGCUGUUGUCCUAUUGUCAUUGUUGUCACUUACCCUCCUCAAUGACUCACCCCCAUAAUGGUAUUCAUUUCAUAAGUGGCCGGGGUCGGCAGAUUCGAGGUGGGAGCAGCAUAAAAUACAGACGAAAAUCUGAAUCAACG